AUUGAACGCUGGCGGCAGGCUUAACACAUGCAAGUCGAGCGGAGAUGAGGUGCUUGCACCUUAUCUUAGCGGCGGACGGGUGAGUAAUGCUUAGGAAUCUGCCUAUUAGUGGGGGACAACAUUCCGAAAGGAAUGCUAAUACCGCAUACGUCCUACGGGAGAAAGCAGGGGAUCUUCGGACCUUGCGCUAAUAGAUGAGCCUAAGUCGGAUUAGCUAGUUGGUGGGGUAAAGGCCUACCAAGGCGACGAUCUGUAGCGGGUCUGAGAGGAUGAUCCGCCACACUGGGACUGAGACACGGCCCAGACUCCUACGGGAGGUAGCAGGGGGGAAUAUUGGACAAUGGGGGGAACCCUGAUCCAGCCAUGCCGCGUGUGUGAAGAAGGCCUUAUGGUUGUAAAGCACUUUAAGCGAGGAGGAGGCUACUGAGACUAAUACUCUUGGAUAGUGGACGUUACUCGCAGAAUAAGCACCGGCUAACUCUGUGCCAGCAGCCGCGGUAAAAC
rnacentral:rRNA from 1 species